rnacentral:misc_RNA from 1 species
UGUAGGAGCUGGCUUGCCUGCGAUAGCGGUGUAUCAGUUGGCACAUCCGGCGCUGACCCACCGCUAUCGCAGGCAAGCCAGCUCCCACA